UAAGUUGGUGAUCGACAUGGACGCAGCUGAUGCAGCCACUGCCGCGUGUAUGAAGAAGGCCUUCGGAUUGUAAAGUACUUUCGGCGGGGAGGAAGGCGUUGUGGUUAAUAACCGCGGCAAUUGACGUUACCCGCAGAAGAAGCACCGGCUAACUCCGUGCCAGCAGCCGCGGUAAUACGG
rnacentral:rRNA from 1 species